rnacentral:rRNA from 1 species
CAAACUUGAGAGUUUGAUCCUGGCUCAGAACGAACGCUGGCGGCAGGCCUAACACAUGCAAGUCGAACGAAGGCCCGGAGCUUGCUCCGGUGUCCUUAGUGGCAGACGGGAUAGUAACGCGUGGGAAUUUGCCCAAUAGUACGGAAUAACUGCGGGAAACUGCAGCUAAUACCGUAUACGCC